AUGCAGUGGUCCUAGGAUAUCAGUCAUGCUCGAGUCCUGGUACAUGGAUCCACACCUGAAUGAGAAAAAUAAGACCAAAUAGAUCAGUGACUCAAGACACUAUGCGACGCCACAACACCUCCUACUGGACACAUGCAAGACAUAAUUGGGGUACUUUUGCAAAAUUAACCUAUGUGGCCAAGGAUGACUAGAAGUGUAUAUUCAACAAGAUUGACCUCAAAGAUAUGAAAAUACCUCACUAAAUCUUAUAUGGAUUCAACUCCCAAUAAUCAUGGCCCAAAGUUAAUUUGCAGAAAUGACCCAUUUUGCAAAAAACGACCGAUAUGGCCAGAAGUGGCUAAAGGUGCAAACUCAAAAAGGAGGAAUCUUAAAGUAAUAUUACACCUAGUUGUGGACUCAAAAUCCUAAGACAUGGGUAAUUUAAUCACUUUUGCGAAAAUGACCCCAUUUUUCAAGAAUGGCCGAUGGGGCCAAAAGUGGCUAGACAUGCAAAUUCAACAUGAAUGUACCUUAAAACCGAAAGGACACCUUGCUGUGAGCUUAGGACUCUAAGACAUGGGUUAACAAGCCACUUUGCAAAAUAUCCUUAUUUGCAAAAACAGCCGAUGUGGCCAAACGUGGCUAGACAUGAAAGAUUUGGCUAAGACCCCGCGAAGCCAAGAACCUAAGACUUACUAGGAAGACCGGACCCUAUAUGGGCUGCCUACGUAUCCCACCCCGAAAGACAAAAAUAGGUUCGCGUAGUUCGGGAAGAUUAGAUAUGGGAGAAAGCUUAAAAAAUGACACUAAUUUGGAAAAAAUAUAUUUUGUCUUUUUGAAAAAUGAUGGAAAAUGUAAAAUCUUUUUAGAUUUUCUUUUUCUUUCUUUUUUUUUAAUUUUUUGGAAAAUGAUGGAAAAGUGUAAAAUCUUUUUUUUUUUUGGAUUUUUUUCAUUUUCAUUUUUUUGGGUCUUUUUUUUUGAAAAACUUGUGAAAGAAAAAAAUAACUAGGCCCUACUUACUCCAUUUUCACCCUUCUUUCCCAAACAUCGGUCCGCCAAAUGACCUUUUUACCCUCAAAGAUGCAACAUGUAUCAAAUAGGGAUGAUUGAAUUUUUUUAGGGCCACGGGCCCAUUUUUGACAAAAUUUGGAUAGGCUUCCUACAAAGGGACAUGGUGCCUGAGACUGAGCCCUACUAAGUGUAAAUGACAUGAUGCAAAUAAGCAUGACCUAAAGGCUGACCUAAGUUUUAGGGUUCACUAGACAAGGCAAUUCGAGGCGGCACGUGGUCGAUGGCGGCUGCUCUAGCUGUCCGCCCACUCCACGCUCCCACGCCACUCCCCUAAAGAUAUGGGUAACUCACAAAAAGACCGUGUACACUCAAACGUACUCUGGAAGACUUGUUUCAAAAAGAAGACCCGGGGUUAUGCAAAUGAUAACAAUUUAUAAAACAAUAAUACAUAAAGAAAAAAAUUGUAAACAUAUAAGCAACUAGCAAAUAAUAAAACGACAUAAACAUUAAUAAAAAUCAAAUAAAGCAAACAAAAAACAUAAAAACCUCAACCGAACAUCCUAAAAAUCCAACAAGAUCAAGUACUAGCUCGAACCUGCAACUCCCCAACAGAGUCGCCAGAGCUGUCACACCCCUUUUUUCACAACCUCACUAACCCUCUUAAAAUAUAUAAAAGAGAUUUUGUAAAGCUCAAAAGGGUUUUCAAUUAGAAAGUGACAAAGAUAGUGUUCAAAAGGAUUAACUCAGAGUCGCCACCUGACAUUGGUUUCGGUGUGCCAGGUCAACGUUUUAAAAUGAUUUUCCUUUUAAACACGUUGGAUUCCACAACUAAGUCUACACCAGAGAUUCGGGUAAGGGGGUUCAUUUGACUUGGGGAAAAGGUGUUAGGAACUCCCCAAGUCCCAUAACUAGUAUGGUUGCAUACUUGAUCAAGUCGGCUUUAAAGAAUAUUCAGAUUGAGGUAAAAUAAACACAAAAGAAAAUGAGCAAUCAAAAGAGAUUCAGGUCGUUCCCACCUAAUCAAAGAAAGAUAAAAAUAAAAAUGAAACGAGAAUAAAGGUACUACGAGUUCGCUUUAGGCCUACAAAUACAAGUACUUCAGGGCAUACCCCGGAUAAAAUAUAUACAAAUUACGCGGGGCAUUCCCCGGAUAGAUUUAACUAAGGAAACGACAUCUUGCCUCGAAACUAACGAAAAACCUAAAGCUUGCCUAUCCAAGUGUGGUCGGCCUAAAACAUGCUCUAGCGAUUAAAGUGAUAAAACAAAGUAGAACUAAAUAAAACAUGUUGAACAGAGUGUUACUUUUAAUUAAUAUCUAACAGCCCGUGACUUCUUAUUCCUAUGCUUCAAGAUCAAAUCUCCUAUGACCCAACAGUUAAAGCAUCCUUGUUUCGUUAAGAUUCAUUGAUUACUAUUCUUUCUAAAUCAUUCAUUUAAAUCCAAAUUAACUAAUUUUUAGCCAGACAAUUUCCUAAUCGAUUUUAACCAAUAAUGUUACUACUUUGAUGUAUCAAACUAAUAAUCAAAAGACAAAUGAUCAAACACAUUUAUCAUAUCAAAAUAUCAUAUACUCAUGCUAAAAAUACAAAAAUAAACAUGUAAUAUUACCAAAAAUGAAAAAGCAAGGUAAAGAUGAGACCUCAGUGUAGAACCCAAUUCAACUUCUGUUAUUUGUUUACACUAAAAUUGAUCCAAAGGCAAAUAUACUCGAUCCAAGAUUUUGAGAAACAAGUAGGGACAACAAUGAAAAUAGCAAACCAAGAAUUGGAACCUCGACGCCGGCGGCGACCAGAAUUUAAACGGGAACAGAGACGAAAACUUCAGCGGAUCUUAAACGACAACAACUCGCCGGAAAGAUGCUAAACGAGCUUCAGUUGAUAAAACUUACUAGUUGUUCUAUUUCGCUGGUGGCUAUGGAGGGUGGUCGUUUGGCGUGAGGUCAAGGAGAAGAGCAGGGUUCGUUGGUUUUGGGGUUGAAGGAAUUGCCAGUGGGUUGAUUGCUGGCUAGUGGGCGGCAAUAUGGGCGUUGGAGUUCAGGGAGUGGGGUUAGUCAUUCCCUUCUUUUGGAUGGAGAAGAAGGGUCGUUGGUGUGGUUCGUUGAUGGCUGCUAUGGUUUGGAGGUAAAGAGGGCUACAGUGGCAAUGUGGCUUCUCCGGAGAGCUGUGAUGGUGGACUGGUGAUGAAGAUGGGUCA
rnacentral:lncRNA from 1 species